rnacentral:rRNA from 1 species
CGGAUAUCUCGGCUCUCGCAUCGAUGAAGAACGUAGCGAAAUGCGAUACCUGGUGUGAAUUGCAGAAUCCCGCGAACCAUCGAGUCUUUGAACGCAAGUUGCGCCCGAGGCCUUCUGGUCGAGGGCACGCCUGCCUGGGCGUCACGCCAAACACGCUCCCACCCCACUAACCCUGUGGCGGGAUGCGGCAUGUGGCUCCCCGUCUCGCAAGUGGCGGUGGGCCGAAGAUCCGGCUGCCGGUGUAUCGUGCCGGACACAGCGCGUGGU